GCCUGGGUGGCUUAGUCGGUUAAGCGUCUGACUCUUGGUGUUGGCUUAGGUCAUGAUCUUGCAGUUUGUGGAUUCGAGCCCCACAUCAGGCU
rnacentral:tRNA from 1 species